GGGGCAUGCGAGGGCUGUCGCUGACUCAAAGUCGUGCACGCCCGAGUGUGUCGCCUCACAUAAUAAUCCAUCUCACCCUUUGUGCAUCACCGCGUGGGCACCCCUUUGGGAUCAUCUCGGAGGGGGCUCGCGUUUUCACACAAAACCCCCCUUUUAAAAGUGUAGUAUGACCUCAUUUAUGCGCUAACCCGCAAUCAAUACAACUUUCAACAACGGAUCUCUUGGCUCUCGCAUCGAUGAAGAACGCAGCGAAAUGCGAUACGUAAUGUGAAUUGCAGAAUUCAGUGAAUCAUCGAAUCUUUGAACGCACCUUGCGCCUCCUGGUAUUCCGAGGGGCACACCCGUUUGAGUGUCGUGAAAACCUCAACCUCCUUGGUUUCUUCUGGAGACCAAAGCAGGCUUGGACUUUGGAGGCCUUUGCUGGCACCUCUCGCCAGCUCCUCUUAAAUGAAUUAGCAGGGUCCUCUUUGCUGAUCCUCGACGUGUGAUAAGAUGUUUCCAUGUCUUGGUUUCUGGCUCUGUCACCUUUUGGNACCCGCUUCUAACCGUCUUCAACCUUGCGUUGAGACAACGUUCGAGCAUGUCUCCCUUCUCGGGAAGCUCCCUCGACCCCCACGAACCCUUGA
rnacentral:rRNA from 1 species